UACGGGGGGGGCAAGCGUUAAUCGGAAUUACUGGGCGUAAAGCGUGCGCAGGCGGCUAUGCAAGACAGAUGUGAAAUCCCCGGGCUUAACCUGGGAACUGCAUUUGUGACUGCAUGGCUAGAGUACGGUAGAGGGGGAUGGAAUUCCGCGUGUAGCAGUGAAAUGCGUAGAUAUGCGGAGGAACACCGAUGGCGAAGGCAAUCCCCUGGACCUGUACUGACGCUCAUGCACGAAAGCGUGGGGAGCAAACAGG
rnacentral:rRNA from 1 species